rnacentral:ncRNA from 1 species
UAACGAUACUCCCGUCCAGCCACAGUCCGAGCGUGAUAAGCGGCAUUUCGACCGUGAAGCCGUCGCAGGCAAUGGGGGCGGUUGCGAGAGAACCUCGUGAGGGUGAAAUUCCCGUG